UGUUUCUGCUUAAAAAGUUGCUCAGUAUCACAAAAACACAAGUUGAUGCUUAUUCAAGAGUGUAACUUAACUAUAUUUCAAGCCAGUAGUUGCCAAUUUUAUCCUUCUCCACCUCAUUCUCUCGUAUCUUUCUUUCUUUCCUUCAUGAUUCUCUUCUUUCCUUCCUGGGUGCCUGCCUGCCUGCCUUCCUUCCUUUUCUUCUUUGUGCAAUACAACAGCUCAGGUGCCUCAGUUCUAGCAACUACCUCUGCAGCAACUCACACCACCAAAAUUCUCUUCUACCUCGCCAUUUCUUUCCUUGUUAUUUUCAAGUUUCUCCAGCCGCACACGGAGUGCCUCCCCUGUUUCUAGCUCCUAUACCACUAGUGACAGUAUCAACUUCGGCUGAAUCCUUUCUCCUCUGCUUUUGCUAUUUGCUAAACUCUCUCAAACUUCCAACCCCCCACACCACACGCUACUGCUAAGCUGCACGUGGCAGCCACUUCAUCAUCAUUAGCUUUGGUGUCUCUAUAAUCAGAAACAGUUGGAGAGGGGUUCUACGUGUCAGCUUCUGCUGUCAUUUUCAGCAACUUUAAUCUCUAGUUUUUUUUAAGAAAAAAAUAUAGUUUUACUUUCUUAAUAUUGUAGUAUCAGUAAUUUCUAAAAUGAGUCGAUUAUUUCUAUUGAAACUAUACCUCUCAAUUUAUAAUUUGCUUAGAAUAGAUUAUUGUAUUAAUUCCUAAUUAUCACUUAUCGUGUAUGCAGGGGUGCAGAAUAUCCUGAUCUCUGGCCUUCUCCCUCCUAUAAUGAGCCUCUGGACGUUUCUAAGAACUUUACAUUUGAUGUGAUAUCAGGCAUCCUGGCAGGGGAAACUAGAAUUCGGAAAGUGGAGGACCAAACUUUGUCCUAGUUAUGAUGAUAUGGAGGCUAUCUUUGGAAAUGACUGUGCUAUAGGACAUUGCGCUGUAAUCGACAAUGAUAAUUUAUCCUCCAUACCCGAUAAAAAAAUGAGUGAAGUUGACGGUCAAAACGAUGAUAUAGAUCCAGGCCCAGUUCGAGCUCCUAAGCAUAACAUCGAAGUAGGAACCAACAAAAUUCGAUGACGACGUACCCAACCCAAUGAUGAAAGUCGCAUAGCCAUAUCAAGCAUUGCUGAAUCGCCUAAAAAAAUUGCAAAUGCAAUGGAGAUUCAAGCAACGUUAGAUACACUAAACCAUAUCAAUUGGCAAUUGAUUCUAGAAAAAUUACAAAACAUUGAGAAGCAUGACAUAAUGCAAGUCAUGAAAGUAUUUCAUUCUGAUGAGAGUCUGGCUAGAGUAUUUAUGAGCUUGACUGAUAAAGAAUUCAUGUGUGAUUUGGUCUUUGAGAAUAUUUGUCAUGAACCGCCUCCACUACUUUAAGAUGACGUGAUUGGAUAAUUCAACAAACAUAUGUAAAAGUAUGAUAUUUAUGUUGGUAUGAAUUGCUACUUCUUGUA